rnacentral:RNase_P_RNA from 1 species
GAAGCGAGCCAGACCGCCGCUGGGGCGAGCGCCGAAAGGCGGCCCUGGAGGAAGGUCCGGACUGCACAGGGCAGCGUAGCAGGUAACACCUGUCCGCCGUAAGGCGAGGAUCAGAGCAACAGAGACGAGCCGAUUCAGUUCGGGUGAAACGGGCAAUCUCUACGCGCAGCAACACCAAAUAGGCCGGCAUUGAUGCGGCCCGCGGAGCCGGCGGGUAGGUGGCACCGAGCCGUGCGAGCGAUCCACGGCCCAGAGGAAUGGCGGUCACGGCGCAGGGAAACCUUCGCCGCACAGAAUCCGGCCCAUCGGCUCGCUUCACAC